CUUCGUUCCCCUUCCCCAUUUUUAUCUGGGUCUUUUCUUCAUCUGUGUUAUCUGUAUCCCACUCAAUUUUUAUUUUCUUCCCAGCAGUUUCUCCUCAUGUGGGCCCUCUCCUGGAAAGGAGCCCCAGCAGGUCAGAUUGGAAAAUUCACUAGGGCUGGGCUGUCUUUGAUGUAAGCUCCUUGUGCUCAUCCACGAUUGGAGUGGGCAAGAUCCCUCCCAGUGUCAACUACUGUUCUUAAAAUGUGAGAUUUCUAGAGAAUACCUAUUGGCCCUUUUGAGAUUCUCCUAUUCUCAGGUCCAUCAGACAUUAAUCCUCUCUUACUCCCAUGCUGAUGGCAUGCAGGGCUUAUGGCUGGAGGUGGUUUGUCUCUACUUGCACAUAUUUGGACUUGAUGGGAAUGUCAUGUCCCCCAGUUUUUGUUUGGGUUUUGCCGUUUCUUUGCUGUGUCAGGUUUUGUCCAUUUCUUCUCUUUUUCUCACUAUUUUAUCAUGAACCUAGUUACUCAAACCAGAAACUAGGCAGUCAUUUUCAGUUUUCCUUCUCAUUUACUUUUAUAUUUUAGUUCACUUCUUUAUCCUUAAUAUUUCUUAAAUCCUACCACUUCUUUCCAUUUUCACUGCUACUGUCUUAGACCAGAUUCCUGUAAUGUCUCUGCUAGUGCUACAAAGUCUUAGAAUCUGAUUUCUCUGCUUCCAAUCUAGAUAUUAUCCACCUGUAGUUAGAGUGACCUUUCUGAAAUGCAGAUCUGAACCUAACUCUUCCUGACAUUAGGAGCUACUUGCAAUAAUUUCUCCAAAUGCCAUGCAUUCUUCUCACCCCUAGAGUUCUGUCUGUAGUAUUAUUUUGUGUGCUUUGCCUUUUUAUUGGAGAAUGCCUGUAUCAUUAUAUUUUGAGGGAAAAUUUCAAUAAUUUAUAUUUCUUUUAAAAGAAAUCUGUAAGUUCAUGAGAACUUGUAAUAAGAUGUAUUGUAUUUCCUAAUGGUCUUUAAAUAUUUUUCUCACUUUCAAUAGAAAAAAAAAUGUCUAGACUGCUAUGCUUGGAGUAUUCCAUUUCCUUUUGUGAAAUCAUGAACUUGAAUUUAUUAAACAUAAAUAUAUAACUGUGAAUGUGAAUAAGCAAAUAAAAUGAAAUUAUUUUUAAGUGCCUUUGAGAUAAAGCAAAGUGUAUUUGGUUCCAUAUUUAAAUGAUUCCCCCAUACAGUUCUCAGCUUUAUCAAAUCCAAGUAGCUGCCUUUAUAAGAAUAAGCAUGUAAUAAAAACUAAGAAACCUUUAAUUGAUUCAUAUCACGUCACCCUGCCAAGAAACCAUGACAGGUUUAUUAUCUGAACACAUCUGGGGUAGAAUUACAGACAAGAACUUGGCAGGGAAACCAGUUGGGAGCACUUUGGUCUUAAUAGGAGAAUGUAUCUAUAUAGUAUUAAUUGGGACUUGUGGUUGGGUGGCAUGCAUCAUUCUAUAAGAAGCAGACCUCCUGGAGCUUCUUGUUCAAAGUCUGCACUGCAGAGGGAGGGACUAGUGGGAAGGGAAAGGUGAAAAAACUGCUCCCCCCACCACAUUCACCACCUCCGACCUGCAACACAUGCACACACCAGUGCAUGUAAAAUCCUCAGAUCUUGGCUCUAUCCUCAAUAGUCUUAACCCAAAAGGACUUAAUUAAAUCUACCCUAUGUGGAAAGUAAGCACAGAGAUUCCCAGGUAAAGUGGUAACCAAAAGUAAAUGAUAAAGCUAGAAAUUCACUUACAAAUGACAAGGAAACCUGACAUGAAAUGGAGAGGGAAAUACAAGUUUGAGAGGCAUAAGAUGAAAUAUCAGCUUGAUGUUAAAAAUAUCUAAGGUAGAUAUUUUUACUUAGAUAGAUUAGGUAGAUUAGGUAAAUAUACUUAGGUGGAUUAAAGAACAAUGGUCUUAAAAUGAAGACACGGUAUUAAACAGGAAGAAAAGAUCUUGAAAGUACCUAAGAUGAACAUACGAGAUUUCCAUGGCUUCUGGUAGAAUACUUAGAAUGGAGAGCACAUCUUUCUUGUAUAGAGUCCUGGUGUUAGGCUGUGAAAUUACAGGAGAAGUGUCUCUGAUGGGUUUCUAAACAGUAGAGAAAUGGGGCCGAUACAGAACGUACUUGCAGCUGUCACUCUGAUUUCGGGUACCAGAGUCAGAAUUUUCCUGGGAUACCCUAUUAUGCAGCGCUAAUCAUGCUGCUUUAAUUGUCCCUUUACUUAGGAGUAUGAGACCCAAUCUAGUGCAGAAGCCAAAUUUGUGAAGCAGCUAGACCAAUGUGAGAUGAUUCUUCAAGCAUCUGAAUAUGAAGACCUUGAACACAAACCUGGGAGACUGCAAGACUUCUAUGAUUCCACAGCAGGUACUCAACACCAUUUUCAACAAGAGUCCAUUUUAGUUUGGCUUACUCAGUGUAGUGACCAAUGUUAACAUUAGGGAAACCCACUGUUGGUACCCUUAUCUGACCCUUUCAUGUGGAGCAUCUAAAAAGAAAGGGAAGGAAACAUUCGGGUAAGAGGCUGAGGAUAGGAAAAAAAUGGAAUAGAGUUUAAUGUGGAAUGAACAGUAAGCAACAGCAGGCACAGGCAAGAAAAGACUGUAAGAGAAGAGAUGUUGGGUUGAACAGUCCCCCAUGCUAGCCGUCAUGGACAUACAAUAGCUUAGAGCUUGGUUGCUACCAAAGCGGAAAUCUGGGGAGGUCUGAGGAGCAGGAAUGACAGCACAGAUCAGCCAAUUGAAGUGUAGAGGUGUUUACAAGAGAGACGCCUGCAUCCUUGUUUACAUCGUGAGCCAGCCUAGCCCCUCUGAUCUUCCUCCUUGUCUUUUCAUAUAUAGGUGCUUCGUUCUCCUUACUUAAUUGCAGGUUUGGAAUGGGCAGAGAUUGUCUUCAGCUUUCUGGGCUCUCACACCUGAGUUUUCCCAUAGUUCCUGGUAGAGGCACUCAGGAGCCUGGUGAAGUUUCCCCUAGCUCUGCCUAAUUGAUGAUUCCUUGCCUGAGUCUCAUCCUUAUUCUCAGUUGCACCUGGGGUGACAGAGCGUAAAUGCCAAGUGGUCCCCUUCGGCCCCUUCCUAGGACCUGGAAUCUCUUUCUGCUUUGGAAUGAAGUGUGGGUCAGAUCGUAGACUAGAGCCCCCAGUGAACCCUGGGAUCAAGCUGGGGAAAUGAAUAUACUCUCUUGUCAAUAUGGGAAUGUAUUUUACCCUGCUCUUUUGCUUUGCAGGAAAAUUCAAUCACCCUGAGAUAGUCCAGCUUGUUUCUGAACUUGAGGCAGAAAGAAAUGCUAACAUAGCUGCAGCUGCCAGUGAGCCACACUCCUGAGACACUCUCUAAAUUGCUGCACUCCUGUAACAAACAUUAUUUUUCCAUUUCAUUGUAUUGUGUUUUGCCAUUGUUGGUCUGUUGAUUUCCCUAGAUGUGAGUCUGUUUGUUUUCAAUUGUCUGGACUUCAGCAAGAAAUGUGAUACAACUUGGGCACUAAAAGAAGCCACAGAACAGGAAGCGGUCAUGAAAAUGCCAUGGAUGAAGACUGGAGGCGGCAGUGCCUGUUUAUGAACUAAAUAAAUAAAUAUUAAACACCU
rnacentral:sRNA from 1 species